AUUGAACGCUGGCGGCAGGCCUAACACAUGCAAGUCGAAUGGUAACAGGAAACAGCUUGCUGUUUCGCUGACGAGUGGCGGACGGGUGAGUAAUGUCUGGGAAACUGCCUGAUGGAGGGGGAUAACUACUGGAAACGGUAGCUAAUACCGCAUAACGUCGCAAGACCAAAGAGGGGGACCUUCGGGCCUCUUGCCAUCAGGUGUGCCCAGAUGGGAUUAGCUAGUAGGUGGGGUAACGGCUCACCUAGGCGACGAUCCCUAGCUGGUCUGAGAGGAUGACCAGCCACACUGGAACUGAGACACGGUCCAGACUCCUACGGGAGGCAGCAGUGGGGAAUAUUGCACAAUGGGCGCAAGCCUGAUGCAGCCAUGCCGCGUGUAUGAAGAAGGCCUUCGGGUUGUAAAGUACUUUCAGCGGGGAGGAAGGGAGUAAAGUUAAUACCUUUGCUCAUUGACGUUACCCGCAGAAGAAGCACCGGCUAACUCCGUG
rnacentral:rRNA from 1 species